rnacentral:rRNA from 1 species
UACGUAGGGGGCAAGCGUUGUCCGGAAUCAUUGGGCGUAAAGGGCUCGUAGGCGGCCAACUAAGUCGGAUGUGAAAUCCCCAGGCUUAACCUGGGAACUGCAUCCGAUACUGGAUGGCUUGAAUCCGGGAGAGGGAUGCAGAAUUCCAGGUGUAGCGGUGAAAUGCGUAGAUAUCUGGAGGAACACCGGUGGCGAAGGCGGCAUCCUGGACCAUAACUGACACUGAUAAGCGAAAGCCAGGGGAGCAAACGGG